UAGGGAAUCUUCGGCAAUGGGGGGAACCCUGACCGAGCAACGCCGCGUGAGUGAAGAAGGUUUUCGGAUCGUAAAGCUCUGUUGUUAAGGAAGAACGAGUGUGAGAAUGGAAAGUUCAUACUGUGACGGUACUUAACCAGAAAGGGACGGCUAACUACGUGCCAGCAGCCGCGGUAAUACGUAGGUCCCGAGCGUUGUCCGGAUUUAUUGGGCGUAAAGCGAGCGCAGGCGGUUAGAAAAGUCUGAAGUGAAAGGCAGUGGCUCAACCAUUGUAGGCUUUGGAAACUGUUUAACUUGAGUGCAGAAGGGGUGAGUAGAAUUCCAUGUGUAGCGGUGCAAUGCGUAGAUAUAUGGAGGAACACCGGUGGCGGAAGCGGCUCUCUGGUCUGUAACUGACGCUGAGGCUCGAAAGCGUGGGGAGCGAACAGG
rnacentral:rRNA from 1 species